ACACACAUAUUAUUGACAUCCUCGAAAAUCACAAAAUGAAAAUAUGAGGAGAGGUGUAGGAAUUGCAGCAGCGAAGAACAAAUCUCUCGCUCAGGCUCGUUACAAAGACAAAGGCAAUGAGCUUGAACAAAAUCAGAUGGCCCAGAUGGCCAAACAGAUGGAGACGUUCAAGGUGAACCUAGAGGAGUUUGCGGCCAAACACAAAGAUGACAUCAGGAAGGACCCAGAGUUCAGGGUCAGCUUCCAGGAGAUGUGUGCCUCCAUAGGUGUCGACCCCCUGGCUUCCAGUAAAGGAUUUUGGGCGGAGAUGCUGGGGGUGGGAGACUUUUAUUAUGAGCUGGGUGUUCAGAUUGUGGAAGUCUGCAUGGCAACCAACCACAGAAAUGGAGGUAAAGUGAAUAAAAAGGCACAUUACCUAUAACACAUGCAUUUUGCUGUUGUCUGAUUAAAUUUUUAGAGAAACAUCUCUGCUUGAAUCGAUAAUUAAGUAAUGAAAAGUAUAAAUGUUAUAACUAUUGCAUACUGUGAUAUCAACUGAAGAGUCCUUAAAUUGUAAUUUCAGAAUGCUAAUGUUGGAUGUCAACAGUCUAUAGUUUCCUCUCAAUUGCUAUUUAUUCCUCUAAGAACUCUCUCUUUAUGAUUUAAACAACAUGUAUAUUGGUAGAAAAAAAAAUAUGCGGUAUUUUAUGAGACAGUGAAAUUUUGUUGUUGAGAUAACAUGUAAAUGAAUACUGUUUUAAUUCUCAGGGUUAAUUGGAAUAGAAGAACUAAGGGAUAAAGUGAUGGCAUCUAGGGGAAAGAAAAGCCAGGCCAUUAGUAUGUAAGUGUCAAACUCAUGAUUACAAUGGAGAUAUAGUUCAUAAACCAGCUAGGUGAAUGUAAAUGAACAGAGAACAAGUAAUUUUCUGGAGAAGAAAGGAGUUGAAAACAUUUAUUAUGCAAGUUUCAAACUUGUAGUUUCCCAUUAAGGAAUAAAGAAUGCAGAAUUUUUUGAUUACAUACUGUUAAAAGCAGUGCCUCCCUUUAAAGAAAACACAAUCAAAGGUCCUAAAUACAGUGAAACCCGGUUAUAACGAACAUGCUUUUAAUGAAUCGACGCUUACAGAAUAGUGAUUUUCAUUCCCUGUGACUUUAUUACAUGUUGUAAACUUGACGGAUAUAACGAAUUAUGCUUAUAACGAAGCAAAAUUGCCGGUCCAUGGCACUUCGUUUAUAUAUGUGUGUUUUACUGUAUACAGUCAUAUAGUGUAUGUGUUUUAAAAUUUACUGGAGAAUUAUGGGAAUGUUUUCAAUAAAUAUAAACUGGUCAUAUAUUGGCUGAUUUCAGAGAUGAUCUCCUGCGAGCCAUAAAGAAACUGAAGGUGCUGGGGAAUGGUUUUACCGUCAUCCCCCUGGGGAAGAGCUACAUGGUGCAGAGUGUGCCCGGGGAGUUAACCAUGGACCACACCAAGCUACUACAGGAGGCCCAGAAUGAGGGAUUUGUUUCCAAGAAGUCAUUGAUGGAUUCACUGAAAUGGGAGGAAGAGAGGGCUACCAGAGCUUUGGUUUGUAGAAUAUAGUUAUGAACAUGUACUAGUUUGCAGGCAUUUUGCUGACAGUAAUUAUGUUAAUGGUCGGCUUAAAUAAAGAGUUUAUAAUAAGAAUUUCUUGCAAUUAUAUCAAUUUGAGCCAUUCCAUCUCGAGAUCAAUUCUUUUAUCACAGAAAUUGUUAUGUUGUUGGAUUACAAUGUGAGGCAAAAACUACUGGUAUAUAUUGAUACUUGUAUGUGAUAUAAUAUUGUCCGUUAUAGGAAUAUAUGAUCAGGGAGGAAUUAUGUAUACAUACAUACAUGUGAUAUUUUGCUUAUAAUGUCAUGUUGUUGGAUUACAUGAAGUGUUAGAUACUCUGUUAAUAUUUAUUUAUAUUGACUGUUGUUAUAUUGUAGAAUUACUCGUUGAGGGAGGGACUAAAGCCGUUACACAUAUAAUUUUGUGAUAUUAUCUGUUGUAGGAUUACAUGGUGAGGGAAGGGUUAGCCUGGGUGGAUGACCAGGCCACUGGGGGCAGACAGUACUGGUUCCCCAGCUUCUUCCCAGAAAUCUCCUCUGUCACAUGAUCUACAUGUACAUCUUGCAAUCUAUUUAUAAAUAUUAGUGUAUUGUAUACUUGUGGAUGUUAAUGGAUUAUGGACGACUCCAGAUGACAAGGAAAAAAUCGUCAUGACUAAGGAAGACGAUUUAUUUGGAUCCUCUUCUGAUCAAGUUUUCAAUUUACUUUUAGCAUAAUAUGUCUUUCAUAUUUGAUAAAGGAGAGAUAUGUAUUCAUAUGAAAACUUGUUUUACUGAGAAAAAAAAACGAACUUAUGUAAUAAAUUUAUUUUAUAAAACC
rnacentral:misc_RNA from 1 species